AGUGAACGCUGGCGGUAGGCCUAACACAUGCAAGUCGAACGGCAGCACAGGAGAGCUUGCUCUCUGGGUGGCGAGUGGCGGACGGGUGAGGAAUACAUCGGAAUCUACUCUGUCGUGGGGGAUAACGUAGGGAAACUUACGCUAAUACCGCAUACGACCUACGGGUGAAAGCAGGGGAUCUUCGGACCUUGCGCGAUUGAAUGAGCCGAUGUCGGAUUAGCUAGUUGGCGGGGUAAAGGCCCACCAAGGCGACGAUCCGUAGCUGGUCUGAGAGGAUGAUCAGCCAACCUGGAACUGAGACACGUUCCAGACUCCUACGGGAGGCAGCAGUGGGGAAUAUUGGACAAUGGGCGCAAGCCUGAUCCAGCCAUACCGCGUGGGUGAAGAAGGCCUUCGGGUUGUAAAGCCCUUUUGUUGGGAAAGAAAUCCAGCUGGCUAAUACCCGGUUGGGAUGACGGUACCCAAAGAAUAAGCACCGGCUAACUUCGUGCCAGCCGCCGCCGUAA
rnacentral:rRNA from 1 species